rnacentral:rRNA from 1 species
GACGAACGCUGGCGGCGUGCUUAACACAUGCCAGUCGAACGGAAAGGCCCUGCUUUUGUGGGGUGCUCGAGUGGCGAACGGGUGAGUAACACGUGAGUAACCUGCCCUGGACUUUGGGAUAACUUCAGGAAACUGGGGCUAAUACCGGAUAGGAGCUCCUGCUGCAUGGUGGGGGUUGGAAAGUUUCGGCGGUUGGGGAUGGACUCGCGGCUUAUCAGCCUGUUGGUGGGGUAGUGGCUUACCAAGGCUUUGACGGGUAGCCGGCCUGAGAGGGUGACCGGCCACAUUGGGACUGAGAUACGGCCCAGACUCCUACGGGAGGCAGCAGUGGGGAAUAUUGCACAAUGGGCGGAAGCCUGAUGCAGCAACGCCGCGUGCGGGAUGACGGCCUUCGGGUUGUAAACCGCUUUCGCCUGUGACGAAGCGUGAGUGACGGUAAUGGGUAAAGAAGCACCGGCUAACUACGUG